rnacentral:tRNA from 1 species
UCUUCCAUAGUGUAGUGGUUAGCACUUGAGACUUUGAAUCUCGCAUCGGGUGUUCGAAUCACCCUGGAAGAA